CCCCGCCCCGCCCCGGGGAGCGGCACCCACGACCUGAGAGUGCUACAGUUUUAUUAAAAAAUGUGAAUAAAAACACACGCAGCUCAUUAUUGGGAGUUGUUGGAAGAAGAUUCCAAAGAUUGGAUUCAGAGGUGAUGCAAAAAGAUGGACAGACUCAGUUGGACUUCCAUAGAACAUGCACCCACAACACCAUGCUCCAGGAAAUCUAGAUUGGUGUCAUUUUCCACCAAAGAGCAGGAAGAAGGCAUGUGAAGGUGCAAAUGAAAGUCAAGAUUCAACUCCUAACUUAUACUUUCGUACACUGCUAAUGAACUGCUGUUCUCCCUCUCCUCUGACACCUUGGUAUGUGUCACCAACUUACAGUCUUAUGUUUUUGUGAGUCAAAUUCAGACAGCAGAAGAGUGUAAGGGGCUGGGUUAAAAGUCAUAUCAAUGUAAAAAGGAAAUCUUAAACAGAAUUCUUAAACGGGAGAUACUGGGUUGCUGAUAUAUUUAGCAUUGGCAAAUUCUUCUGCAUAAAGUGUUGCGCUUUCAGUUACUCUCAUAUCCUCAGUUGCAGAACUAAAGCAUAGCAACUCUGAGUUUUUAAGCUAUGUGAAUGCAAAAUAGUUUUAUAAUGCUGUGAGUUAUUUCAAACAACAAACUAUUGACUGGGAGAUAUAAUGGUAGUAUUAUGAAAUGCAUUUUGUUGUAGGGACUUGUAUCACCUCCUGAAUGGUGUUUAAAUAAAUGUUAAAUUCAGCGUG